UGCAACAUGUUGUCACGUAUACACUAAUAGCCAGCCUCUCCUUUUGCCAAUUUCACCAAGGAAGUGGAAAAAUCAUCUCAGAAAUUGCUUGUCUAACAGCUCCAACUGGCGUUUGGCAGGAUUUAGCAGUUGAAUUGAAUCGUAUGUUACGUGGACUCAACACGGUGAAAAUCACUGGUGCUUUGUUUGUACUCGAGAAUAUUUCAAGGCUUUGCCUUACUGAACGAUCACUGGUACUCAGAAGGGAGAUUGAGAAGUUUUUGUGUUCAUCCUUUAUUGGGUUGGAAAGAAUACUGCAGCUGGGGGAACUAUUGAAAGGAUGAUACAAUGCAGGCCGGAUUAUGUUCGAAGCAGGAAUACAAGGGCCAUAACACUACGAAAACUUGAAGAAAAUAGAAGCUACCCAAAGAUUUCAGAAAGCAUUGAUUGGUUAAAUAAAGAGUACAAGAUGAAUGUCAACCCCAAUUCUCCUUUUCCCGUUCCAAAGUCUGGUCCCGGACAGCCACAUUGAUAUGGCUAAAGAUGGGGUAUCAAGAGAGAGUGACAUGCUGAUGGUAGUUGAUCAAAACAGCAGCAGCAGCAAAGAGGUGAUGGAUUUUGAUUUGGUAUAAUGUUGUUUACAGGUUCAGUUCUUUUUGUAAUAUUGUGUAAGAGCAGCAGUGUCAGCAAGCAUUUGGGGGCUGUUAGGUAUUUUUUUGUUGUUCACCAGCAUAUACGUUCUGGGUUGUUAUACUGAUAUGGGUUUUUAGCAAUACUCCCUUAUGUCUAAAAUGUUUUACUGAUAGCAAAGGAAAGUUUAUAUGCUUUACUGAUUGCAACUUGUAAUAUGUGUAGAGUAGUUAAGGUUGUGAUGGAAUGUUACAGAGAUAUAUGUUGCAAUAGCAAAGUUUCAUCCCAGGUGCAACCUGGUAAAUGUAG